rnacentral:rRNA from 1 species
GGCCUUGAAUUGUAAUCUGGAGAUGUACCACCAACUGGGGCGUAGAUGUAAGCCUUUUGGAAAAGAGUAUCAAUGAGGGUGAGAGUCCCGCAUGUCAUCUGCAGUCCCCAGUGCACGGUGUACCUUCUAAGAGUCACGUUCCUCGGGAUUGGAGCGCAAAUUAGGUGGUAAAUUUCAUCUAAAGCUAAAUAUUGCUUCGAGACCGAUAGCAAACAAGUACCUUGAGGGAAAGGUGAAAAGGACUUUGAGAAGAGAGUUAAAAGUGCCUGAAAUUGCUGAAAGGGAAGCGAAUGGAACCAGUGCAGCUUGGCAAGAU